UAGAUUUGUCCCGUAAACUUCUAUAUACAUUUUUGUGUGCUCUUUAUUGGGAUAUGUGGUAGUCUUUCCUGUAAUAAUUAUAAAUAUCGAUCGUAUCGGCUUGGCCUGCUUCCCCAAAGCCUAAUUCAGAUUAUAGAUCGAUAUAUUGUAGUACCUACCUUUCCGUGAGGUAUCCUUCCUGCAGCUUCAUAUUCAAUUCUUUGUCUAUUGCAACAGCAUCUAGCAAAAUGUGCUGCGGACCUUGCUACUCGUGCUGCGGACCCUGCGGUGGCUGUUGUGGACCUUGCGGCGGCUGCUAUGGCGGCUGUUGCUAUCGCUAUUCCUGCUGUGGUCCCUGUUAUGGACGCUGUUGUGGCGGCUGUGGCCCCUGUUGCUAGAGAUGUCUUCAAAAGGAUAUCUAGGUACUACUCAUACUUCAGGCGCUAUACGAAUGUCACUCUGUUAGUGUACAAAAUUUUAUGUUUAAAUAAGUAAAGUUAUGGGAAAUUAAAAAGCAGCGUUGAUCCA